UACAGAGGUCCCGAGCGUUGUUCGGAUUCAUUGGGCGUAAAGGGUGCGUAGGCGGUCUUCUAAGUUUGAUGUGAAAUCCCGGGGCUCAACCCUGGAAUUGCAUUGAAUACUGGAGGACUAGAGUACUGGAGAGGAAGCUGGAAUUUACGGUGUAGCAGUGAAAUGCGUAGAGAUCGUAAGGAAGACCAGUGGCGAAGGCGAGUUUCUGGACAGUAACUGACGCUGAGGCACGAAGGCCAGGGGAGCAAACGGG
rnacentral:rRNA from 1 species